rnacentral:rRNA from 1 species
GGGUUGUGAGGUUAAGCGACCAAGCGUACACGGUGGAUGCCCUGGCAGUCAGAGGCGAUGAAGGACGUGCUAAUCUGCGAAAAGCGCCGGUAAGGUGAUAUGAACCGUUAUAACCGGCGAUGUCCGA